CCCUUAGAUGUCCUGGGCCGCACGCGCGUUACACUGAUGCAUUCAACGAGCUUAUAACCUUGGCCGAGAGGCCUGGGCAAUCUUGUUAACGUGCAUCGUGAUAGGGAUAGAUUAUUGAAAUUAUUAAUCUUGAACGAGGAAUUCCUAGUAAACGCAGAUCAUCAAUCUGCAUUGAUUACGUCCCUGCCCUUUGUACACACCGCCCAUCGCACCUACCGAUUGGAUGGUCCGGUGAAGCCUCGGGAUUGUGGUUCUUGCCGCUUUAUUGUGGCGUGACCGCGAGAACUUGUCUAAACCUUAUCAUCUAGAGGAAGGUGAAGUCGUAACA
rnacentral:rRNA from 1 species